rnacentral:rRNA from 1 species
AUUGAACGCUGGCGGCAGGCCUAACACAUGCAAGUCGAGCGGAGCGGCGGACGGGUGAGUAAUGCCUAGGACUCUGCCUGUUAGUGGGGGAUAACGUCCGUAACCUGUAGCUACUCCCUCAUACUAUCAGAUGAGCCUAGGUCGGAUUAGCUAGUUGUUGGGGUAAAGGCCUACCAAGGCGACGAUCCGUAACUGGUCUGAGAGGAUGAUCAGUCACACUGGAACUGAGACACGGUCCAGACUACUACGGGAGGCAGCAGUGGGGAAUAUUGGACAAUGGGCGAAAGCCGGAUCCAGCCAUGCCGCGUGUGUGAAGAAGGUCUUCGGAGUGUAAAGCACUUUAAGUUGGGAGGCGUUACCAACAGAAUAAGCACCGGCUAACUUCGUGCCAGCAGCCGCGGUAAUUC